rnacentral:rRNA from 1 species
GACGAACGCUGGCGGCGUGCUUAACACAUGCAAGUCGAACGGUAAGGCCCUUCGGGGUACACGAGUGGCGAACGGGUGAGUAACACGUGGGUGAUCUGCCCUGCACUUCGGGAUAAGCCUGGGAAACUGGGUCUAAUACCGGAUAGGACUCCUGGCUUCAUGGUUGGGGGUGGAAAGCUUUUGCGGUGUGGGAUGGGCCCGCGGCGUAUCAGCUUGUUGGUGGGGUAAUGGCCUACCAAGGCGACGACGGGUAGCCGGCCUGAGAGGGUGACCGGUCACACUGGGAAUGAGAUACGGCCCAGACUCCUACGGGAGGCAGCAGGGGGGAAUAUUGCACAAUGGGCGCAAGCCUGAUGCAGCGACGCCGCGCGAGGGAUGACGGCCUUCGGGUUGUAAACCUCUUUCAGCUAUGACGAAGCGCAAGUGACGGUAGUAGCAGAAGAAGGACCGGCCAACUACGUGCCAGCCGCCGCCGUAA